rnacentral:rRNA from 1 species
UGGGGAAUUUUGGACAAUGGGCGAAAGCCUGAUCCAGCAAUGCCGCGUGUGUGAAGAAGGCCUUCGGGUUGUAAAGCACUUUUGUCCGGAAAGAAAUCCUUGGCUCUAAUACAGUCGGGGGAUGACGGUACCGGAAGAAUAAGCACCGGCUAACUACGUGCCAGCAGCCGCGGUAAUACGUAGGGUGCAAGCGUUAAUCGGAAUUACUGGGCGUAAAGCGUGCGCAGGCGGUUUGCUAAGACCGAUGUGAAAUCCCCGGGCUCAACCUGGGAACUGCACUGGUGACUGGCAGGCUAGAGUAUGGCAGAGGGGGGUAGAAUUCCACGUGUAGCAGUGAAAUGCGUAGAGAUGUGGAGGAAUACCGAUGGCGAAGGCAGCCCCCUGGGCCAAUACUGACGCUCAUGCACGAAAGCGUGGGGAGCAAACAGGAUUAGAUACCCUGGUAGUCCACGCCCUAAACGAUGUCAACCAGUUGUUGGGGAUUCAUUUCCUUAGUAACGUAGCUAACGCGUGAAGUUGACCGCCUGGGGAGUACGGUCGCAAGAUUAAAACUCAAAUGAAUUGACGGGGUCAUAGCUGUUUCCU